rnacentral:rRNA from 1 species
UGAUCCUGGCUCAGGAUGAACGCUAGCGGCAGGCUUAACACAUGCAAGUCGAGGGGUAACAUUGUAGCUUGCUACAGAUGACGACCGGCGCACGGGUGCGUAACGCGUAUAGAACUUACCUUUUACAGAGGGAUAGCCUUUAGAAAUGAAGAUUAAUACCUCAUAGUAUUAUUGAUUGGCAUCAAUUAAUAAUUAAAGAUUUAUCGGUAAAAGAUGGCUAUGCGUCCUAUUAGCUAGAUGGUAAGGUAAUGGCUUACCAUGGCUACGAUAGGUAGGGGCCCUGAGAGGGGGAUCCCCCACACUGGUACUGAGACACGGACCAGACUCCUACGGGAGGCAGCAGUGAGGAAUAUUGGGCAAUGGAGGUAACUCUGACCUAGCCAUGCCGCGUGCAGGAAGACUGCCCUAUGGGUUGUAAACUGCUUUUAUACAGGAAGAAACACUCGUACGUGUACGAGCUUGACGGUACUGUAAGAAUAAGGACCGGCUAACUCCGUGCCAGCAGCCGCGGUAAUACGGAGGGUCCGAGCGUUAUCCGGAAUCAUUGGGUUUAAAGGGUCCGCAGGCGGUCAAUUAAGUCAGAGGUGAAAUCCCAUAGCUUAACUAUGGAACUGCCUUUGAUACUGGUUGACUUGAGUCAUAUGGAAGUAGAUAGAAUGUGUAGUGUAGCGGUGAAAUGCAUAGAUAUUACACAGAAUACCGAUUGCGAAGGCAGUCUACUACGUAUGUACUGACGCUCAUGGACGAAAGCGUGGGGAGCGAACAGGAUUAGAUACCCUGGUAGU